rnacentral:rRNA from 1 species
AUACGGAGGGGGCUAGCGUUGUUCGGAUUUACUGGGCGUAAAGCGCGCGUAGGCGGUAUAUCAAGUUAGGCGUGAAAGCCCCGGGCUCAACCCGGGAACUGCGCUUAUUACUGAUAAACUAGAGUCCGAGAGAGGGUGGCGGAAUUCCCAGUGUAGAGGUGAAAUUCGUAGAUAUUGGGAAGAACACCGGUGGCGAAGGCGGCUACCUGGACCGGACCUGACGCUGAGGUGCGAAAGCGUGGGGAGCAAACAGAAUUAGAAACCCCGGUAGUCC